AUGACAUGUGUGGAGCCUCAGCGAAGGUCAGCGUCUCGGCUGAAUGAUGGCCAGCUCGGAACAGGGCCUCUCGUUGCCCAUCUGCCUACUGCUUCCCUUCAUCCACCUGCCGAACGCACAGAGGCAGCCACAGGACUUCACUGGCUGGACUGGGGACCACAGAACUGCAGCUCUACUGACCUAUUUCUCUCUGUGGAUGAUGCUGGGCCAGAUGUAAUACUCUAAAGAAGCUCAAAGAUGGUCACUCAUCAAGACAGAGUUUGGUAUGACGAUGAUGAACCAAGUCCCCCUCGCCUGUGUUAGCAUAUGGCAAACGUCGCUCCCCUGUGCUGAAAGUGACUGGGUCCCCGACUCUAGGAAGAUGUGACCAAUAAGAAGAAUGUACAGGGCUGGCCGGGUGGCUCAGUUGGUUAGAGCACGAGCUGAGC